rnacentral:sRNA from 1 species
CCAUAGGUCCUCUCCGGCCUCACAGCCGAUG